AGAAAGCAAAAUAUUAUAAAAUAGCUGUAGCUAUUUUGCCUGCAAGAUUUAUUCCAGCUUUUUCAGCAAAUCAUGGGACCUACACGGGGAAAGCUGUUGUCCUCUACUGACAUUGAUAUGGGAUUUAAUGUCAUCCUUUUUUAUUUUUUCCUUUCUCCUGCUAAGGUGAAUAUGUGAACGUACUAGAGCCGGAACCGAUCGUACUAGAUCCUUGUUUUGUUGGCACUAGUGAUCGGGAAAGUGAAGAUGAUGUUCCAGACUAUGAAAAUGUCUGUUUUGGACUUUGAGGUUGAAAAGAGGAUUUCAAAGGAUCAGUUUUGCAUUGGGGGAUCUAUUAAUCUUCGCAAAGGAUGGAUCACCAGCCAGGACACCUUCUCCUGAACAACUUCCAAUUUUGUCAUAUCCUAAGUUUUCUCCCUUGCACUUUGGAUGACGCAUCCUGAGAAUUUCUCCCAAUUAUCAGUAGCAGUAUUUUGAUGGACUUUUCCCAAAGCAAUUCAGUUUUGCUUUUAAGUUUGGUUGACUAAUAAAGAACCAAGA
rnacentral:lncRNA from 1 species